rnacentral:tRNA from 1 species
GCCCCUGUAGCUCAGUGGAUCAGAGCGUCUGACUUCGGAUCAGAAGGCCGCGGGUUCGAGUCCUGCCGGGGGCG